AUUGAACGCUGGCGGAAUGCUUUACACAUGCAAGUCGAGCGGCAGCACGGGGGCAACCCUGGUGGCGAGCGGCGAACGGGUGAGUAAUACAUCGGAACAUGACCAGUCGUGGGGGAUAACACUUCGAAAGAAGUGCUAAUACCGCAUACGUCCUGAGGGGGAAAGCGGGGGAUCGCAAGACCUCGCGCGAUUGGAGUGGCCGAUGUCAGAUUAGCUAGUUGGUGGGGUAAAGGCCUACCAAGGCAACGAUCUGUAGCUGGUCUGAGAGGAUGAUCAGCCACACUGGGACUGAGACACGGCCCAGACUCCUACGGGAGGCAGCAGUGGGGAAUUUUGGACAAUGGGGGCAACCCUGAUCCAGCCAUUCCGCGUGAGUGAAGAAGGCCUUCGGGUUGUAAAGCUCUUUCGGCAGGAACGAAACGGUGAGCUCUAACAUAGCUUGCUAAUGACGGUACCUGAAGAAGAAGCACCGGCUAACUACGUG
rnacentral:rRNA from 1 species